GACGAACGCUGGCGGCGUGCUUAACACAUGCAAGUCGAACGGAAAGGCCCCUUUGGGGGUACUCGAGUGGCGCACGGGUGAGUAACACGUGAGUAACCUGCCCUUGACUUCGGGAUAACUUCAGGAAACUGGGGCUAAUACCGGAUAGGAAUCCUUGCUGCAUGGUGGGGGUUGGAAAGCUUCGGCGGUUUUGGAUGGACUCGCGGCUUAUCAGCUUGUUGGUGGGGUAGUGGCUUACCAAGGCUUUGACGGGUAGCCGGCCUGAGAGGGCGACCGGCCACAUUGGGACUGAGAUACGGCCCAGACGCCUACGGGAGGCAGCAGGGGGGAAUAUUGCACAAUGGGCGGAAGCCUGAUGCAGCAACGCCGCGUGCGGGAUGACGGCCUUCGGGUUGUAAACCGCUUUCAGCAGGGGCGAAGCUUGUGGUGACGGUACCUGCAGAAGAAGCACCGGCUAACUACGUG
rnacentral:rRNA from 1 species